ACUCAAAGGAAUUGACGGGGGUCCGCACAAGCGGAGGAGCAUGUGGUUUAAUUCGAUGAUACGCGAGGAACCUUACCUGGGCUUGAACGUGUGAUGCAAUACUGGGAAACUGGUAGUCCCUUCGGGGCGUCAUGCGAGGUGCUGCAUGGUUGUCGUCAGCUCGUGCCGUGAGGUGUUAGGUUAAGUCCUGUAACGAGCGCAACCCCUAUACUUAGUUACCAGCACGUAGCGGUGGGGACUCUAAGUAAACUGCCUGCGCAAGCAGAGAGGAAGGUGGGGAUGACGUCAAAUCAGCACGGCCCUUACGUCCAGGGCCACACACGUGCUACAAUGGCCGAUACAGAGGGCAGCUACCUGGUGACAGGAUGCGAAUCUCGAAAGUCGGUCUCAGUUCGGAUCGGAGUCUGCAACUCGACUCCGUGAAGUUGGAUUCGCUAGUAAUCGCGCAUCAGCCAUGGCGCGGUGAAUACGUUCCCGGGCCUUGUACACACCGCCCGU
rnacentral:rRNA from 1 species